UUGAAAAGUGUUCUGAAACGAUAAACAGUAUUUUUUUCCCUCGCGCUUCACGGUAAAAUUUUAGUGUUUUCACGACUGACGGUAACCGAAAUCAGGGCGCUAUAAAACACGGGCGGUGAAACCAGGGCGCUAUAAAACACGGGCGGUGAAACCAGGGCGCUAUAAAACACGGGCGGUGAAACCAGGGCGCUAUAAAACACGGGCG